GAUGAAGAACGUAGCGAAAUGCGAUAAGUAGUGUGAAUUGCAGAAUUCAGUGAAUCAUCGAAUCUAUGAACGCACAUUGCGCCCUUUGGUAUUCCUUAGGGCAUGCCUGUUCGAGCGUCAUUUAAACCUUCAAGCUCAGCUUGGUGUUGGGUGACUGUCCGCCGCCUCCGGGCGGUCGGACUCGCCUCAAAUUGAUUGGCGGCCGGUACUUUGGCUUCGAGCGCAGCAGAAACGCGAACUCGAGGCCGUCGUCCUGGCUCCCAGAAGCUAUCUUCACAAUUUUGACCUCGGAUCAGGUAGGGAUACCCGCUGAACUUAAGCAUAUCAAUAAGCGGAGGA
rnacentral:misc_RNA from 1 species